UUUUGGGUAAAGGGUUUCGGAAUUGAUUGCGAGGCAAAACAAAAUGUGCUCUGGCUGAGAAAUAAAAUAAUCAAGAUUUCAGUAGCAGCAUGUUUUGUUUUCCCUCCGCAAUUAAUACUCACAAAUCCUGCCGAGGA
rnacentral:pre_miRNA from 1 species